GUCGCUCCCCCGCCCUGUCGCCGGCCGCGUCACUCCCCUGCCCCGUCACCGUCGCUCCCCCGCCCCGUCGCCGGCCCUCCCCCUCAUCCACGGCCCACCACACAUCCUGGAAUGCUGUGGUGAUGCAGCUGGGGCAGGCAUCGACGACGCCAUCACCGCGGCACACCACCAUGCCGUAUUAUAUAGUCUUGGUCAGUUCGUGUGGAUGAGGCGCUAGUGAAUAGAGCAGUAGAUAGGAGCUCAAGGUUUGCUUUGUAGGUGCUCUCAUUCAUGUGGGUGUCUCUGUAGUAGCAGAUCUGCGUCAGUGGAUUGACGGCAGCGACGAAUGGCUCGAAGCCGAGAAUAAGCAGCAAGACAAUGAUCAUGGCUCUGCCUAACCAUAGCUUGCAGGCCGUGCAAUCAAAUUUCGUGGAAUACAAUAGUGCGGCCGUCCAGGCAUCAGCCUGUGUAAUGGCUACAAGCAAUGCAAGACAAGGGGAGAGAACAAUAACAAAUCGAGUUUCAGUGUUUCCGUCAACAGAGAAGAGGUCUUCUUAUGACCUUGAGGGAGGUGCGGAGUUGAAGAUGAUUACGAUCGUUCGGUAAAGCUAAUGGACUAUUUGUUAGAAGCUUGACUCGGAAAUGUUUCUUAUGCUGAAAUGCUUCGAAAAUGCUCUUAAGCUUGUGUGAUGCUGACGUUUGUCAAGACAUUGAAAACCUGAGUUCAUGUCAGGUAUUCCGACGGAGAGGGACCGGCAGGAGAGGGACAGUUCAUCUCGCUACUCAUGACCUCCAUCAAAUUCUCCUCCGAGCUUGCCUGCCGAGAUGCCAGCACUGCUUGUUUGUAUAGAUGCUCAAGAAGACUGCUCAAAGGAGGACAGUUUGUAGGAUAGUUUGUGUGACAAUGCGAGCACUACCUGUUUGUAUAAAUGCUGAAGGAGAAAACUGUUCGGAGAAGGACAUGUGUGAGAGAGAGAGGGAAGGAGAAACAGGGGCCGGGAGUAAGAGCUGAAGAGCAAGGAGAACCACAUGUUGUCCCUUUGUCAUCGACACCAUCCUGCCGUUGCAGGCUUGUCCCGGUGGCCUUUCGCUUGGUGAGCUGUUACCCUGCCCUGGUUCUUUGUCUCUGCCUCUUUCAUGGUUUCUUCCUUUCAAAUAUUUCUUUUUUGUCUCCCUUCUAAAGGUAAGUUUUGCCUUAGCAUCCUUCAUGUUGUAACACAAACAAAAUAUUAGUGAUCUGACAGCAACACCAUUUUCUGUUUAGUUAUUUAAUUUAGAUGAUUGCUGCUAUACAACUUGACUGCCAAAUUCUGUAGCAUUUUCUACUUGAUAAAUAAAGAACCAGGUCACACCAUUUUCUUUACUUUAUUAUUCGAUUAUAUGCAGGAGUUUUGGUGUGGAUUAUAGAUUCUACAGUUACUCUUAGCUUGUCAGCUUUGUUGAUCCUAAUUUACGAUGUUCACCAAGGAUUAUAGACCAUGGUACCUUCAUCUGUUGUCGACAGUUUCCUCUUUCAGAUUUGAUGUUAGUUUGUACAAGCUACUGGGUUGUGCUUAGAUGGUAUGGUUUCUCUGCUAUUUAGAAACUACACUUAACACUCAUAAAGUACAAUGAUCGGAUCCUAAACUGAAAUAUUUAUUUUGGCGGGUUUAAAAUUUGAUGUGGGAUGGGCAUACGAGUUUGAUGUUUGCAGUCCUCUCUGAGCUGCAAGUCGCUCGACAACACGACAAAUUCAGUUACAGAUUUUUACCAAAGCUAACUAAAAUAAAGUUCAGUUCAGCAGACCAUGUCUAUUGGAAGGAAGCAAAUUUCUUGCCUUAUGAAUCCUACGUAGCCAUCAUAUUUUAUUUCAGACUGAAUCGUCCUAGCUCAGUGUAUCCUUGCUAAAAUAAGAACAUCAUUUUUUAGGGGAUGACACAACAAAAACUGACCAGGACUGCAUCUCUCAUAUUUUCUUGCUUAGAUUGUUAAUCUGAAUUCGUGUUUGAUAUUGUAGUAUGGAGGUUUCACCAUGAUGCAUGUUCCGUUGUCGUUUUUUUUCCAACUGCUUUGAUAUUAAUUUACAAGAUAGUAAGUUUUAUACGUGUGGUUGGAUGUCAAUCUUUACAGUUUGAUGACUAGAUUUAUCCAAGGAAGAAAAACUGAUAUUAGUAAUUAUGUGUCAUAUAUAGAUGCAGAUCCAGAAGGGGAGCCUUGGCGCAGUGGUAAAGCUGCUGCCUUGUGACCAUGAGGUCAUGGGUUCAAGUCCUGGAAACAGCCUCUUACAUAAAUGUAGGGAAAGGCUGCGUACUAUAGACCCAAAGUGGUCGGACCCUUCCCUGGACCCUGCGCAAGCGGGAGCUACAUGCACCAGGUUGCCCUUUUUUUGUAUAGAUGCAGAUCCGAGUUGCCAUAAUGGAAUAUGGAUGGACAACACAAAAUAGCCAGUUCCUUAAUUUUGUGUUUGAUGGAAGUAUAUGGUUCAGCCUGUACUGUCCAACAUAAAUUGACACAAACCUGUGCGCGUUUGCUCUGAACGGUGUGUUGUUAUGGAACUUUGCAGCUGCUCCUAGAUCAAUUCAACCUCCAUCUGAAUGUUUUAGUUCAUCUAUGUUUUUGAAAUUUUUCUACAGAAUAGUGAGGUUAUAGUUAUUCCCAAACGCCUUGUGGAGAGUAUUCUUAAUUGUAUUCGCUGCUUCGGGUGCUUGUCUAUAUGUCUUAUGAGUAUUCACCUAUAGCUUGAUAUCCUACGAGAGGACAUUUAUACGUGUUUCUCAAUGAUUUUCACUAAACUAUCCAUGCUGUCAUACAGAGAUGCUAACAAACACGACAACAUGAUUAGUGCGCACAGUUCCGUCUCAAGAGACGCGCCCAGGGCGUGUCCCAGCCACUAGUGGUCUACAAUUACUAACUGAGAUGAGUUACCACUGUAUUUUUCUUCUUCUAAUUACAACAUGUAUACAUGUGUGUUAUAAGUUCAAUUAUAUAUGAAGAUGCCUAUAUGUUGUUUUCCAAUUUACUUCCACAAAACCACAAACUGGGUAUUCCUAUUUUACAGAUAUAAGUUGCAUCGUAAUAAUCUUCACAUUUUAGUUGCAUCAUAAUAAUCUUCUUCUUCUAGUCUUCUUCUUCUAACUUUCUUCUUUCCCAU